rnacentral:rRNA from 1 species
AGUGAACGCUGGCGGUAGGCCUAACACAUGCAAGUCGAACGGCAGCACAGGAGAGCUUGCUCUCUGGGUGGCGAGUGGCGGACGGGUGAGGAAUACAUCGGAAUCUACCUUUUCGUGGGGGAUAACGUAGGGAAACUUACGCUAAUACCGCAUACGACCUACGGGUGAAAGUGGGGGACCGCAAGGCCUCACGCGAUUAGAUGAGCCGAUGUCCGAUUAGCUAGUUGGCGGGGUAAUGGCCCACCAAGGCGACGAUCGGUAGCUGGUCGGAGGGGAUGAUCAGCCACACUGGAACUGAGAGACGGUCCAGACUCCUACGGGAGGCAGCAGUGGGGAAUAUUGGACAAUGGGCGCAAGCCUGAUCCAGCCAUACCGCGUGGGUGAAGAAGGCCUUCGGGUUGUAAAGCCCUUUUGUUGGGAAAGAAAUCCUGUCGAUUAAUACUCGGUGGGGAUGACGGUACCCAAAGAAUAAGCACCGGCUAACUUCGUGCCAGCCGCCGCCGUAAAAC